AGCAGUCGCCGCGGUAAUACCAGCACCUCGAGUGGUCAGGAGGUUUAUUGGGCCUAAAGCAUCCGUAGCCGGUUGUUUAAGUUUUCGGUUAAAUCUAUGCGCUUAACGUAUAGGCUGCCGAAAAUACUGGACAGCUAGGGAGUGGGAGAGGUACACGGUACUCAAUAGGAAGGGGUAAAAUCCUUUGAUCUGUUGAUGACCACCUGUGGCGAAGGCGGUGUACCAGAACACGUUCGACGGUGAGGGAUGAAAGCUGGGGGAGCAAACCGGAUUAGAUACCCCUGUAGUCCCUGUCUCUUAUAC
rnacentral:rRNA from 1 species